rnacentral:rRNA from 1 species
CCUACGGGGGGCAGCAGUGAGGAAUAUUGGUCAAUGGGCGCGAGCCUGAACCAGCCAAGUCGCGUGAGGGAUGACGGUCCUACGGAUUGUAAACCUCUUUUGCCAGGGAGCAAGCGUGCGUUCGUGAACGCGCGUCGAGAGUACCCGGAGAAAAAGCAUCGGCUAACUCCGUGCCAGCAGCCGCGGUAAUACGGAGGAUGCGAGCGUUAUCCGGAUUUAUUGGGUUUAAAGGGUGCGUAGGCGGAUUGAUAAGUUAGAGGUGAAAUGUCCGAGCUUAACUCGGGAACUGCCUCUAAUACUGUUGAUCUAGAGAGUAGAUGCGGUAGGCGGAAUGUAUGGUGUAGCGGUGAAAUGCUUAGAGAUCAUACAGAACACCGAUUGCGAAGGCAGCUUACCAAUCUAUAUCUGACGUUGAGGCACGAAAGCGUGGGGAGCAAACAGGAUUAGAUACCCCAGUAGUC